rnacentral:rRNA from 1 species
GAUGAACGCUGGCGGCGUGCCUAAUACAUGCAAGUCGAGCGAACGGACGAGAAGCUUGCUUCUCUGAUGUUAGCGGCGGACGGGAGAGUAACACGUGGAUAACCUACCUAUAAGACUGGGAUAACUUCGGGAAACCGGAGCUAAUACCGGAUAAUAUUUUGAACCGCAUGGUUCAAAAGUGAAAGACGGUCUUUCUGUCACUUAUAGAUGGAUCCGCGCUGCAUUAGCUAGUUGGUAAGGUAACGGCUUACCAAGGCAACGAUGCAUAGCCGACCUGAGAGGGUGAUCGGCCAGACUGGAACAGAGACACGGUCCAGACUCCUACGGGAGGCAGCAGUCGGGAAUCUUCCGCAAUGGGCGAAAGCCUGACGGAGCAACGCCGCGUGAGUGAUGAAGGUCUUCGGAUCGUAAAACUCUGUUAUUAGGAAAGAACAUAUGUGUAAGUACCUGUGCUCAUCUUGACGGUACCUAAUCAGAAAGCCACGGCUAACUACGUG